UGGGGAAUAUUGCGCAAUGGACGAAAGUCUGACGCAGCGACGCCGCGUGAGGGAUGAAGGUCUUCGGAUCGUAAACCUCUGUCAGGAGGGAAGAAAGCGCAUGGCGCCAAUCAGUCAUGCGUUGACGGUACCUCCAAAGGAAGCGCCGGCUAACUCCGUGCCAGCAGCCGCGGUAAUACGGAGGGCGCAAGCGUUAAUCGGAAUUACUGGGCGUAAAGCGCGCGUAGGCUGUUGUGUAAGUCAGGGGUGAAAGCCCGCGGCUUAACCGCGGAACUGCCCUUGAUACUGCGCGACUUGAAUCCGGGAGAGGUGGCGGAAUUCCAGGUGUAGGAGUGAAAUCCGUAGAUAUCUGGAGGAACACCAGUGGCGAAGGCGGCCACCUGGACCGGAAUUGACGCUGAGGCGCGAAAGCGUGGGGAGCAAACAGGAUUAGAUACC
rnacentral:rRNA from 1 species